rnacentral:pre_miRNA from 1 species
AUAGUACUCACUCCGUCCGAAAAUACUUGUCACAGGAAUGGAUGUAUCUAGAUGUAUUUUAAUUCUAGAUACAUUCAUUUUUAUCAAUUUCUGCGAUAAGUAAUUCCGGAAGGAGGGAGUACGAA